GACGAACGCUGGCGGCGUGCCUAAUACAUGCAAGUAGAACGCACAGUUUAUACCGUAGCUUGCUACACCAUAGACGGUGAGUUGCGAACGGGUGAGUAACGCGUAGGUAACCUGCCUGGUAGCGGGGGAUAACUAUUGGAAACGAUAGCUAAUACCGCAUAAUAUUAAUUAUUGCAUGAUAAUUAAUUGAACGGUGCAAUUGCACCACUACCAGAUGGACCUGCGUUGUAUUAGCUAGUAGGUGAGGUAACGGCUCACCUAGGCGACGAUACAUAGCCGAACUGAGAGGGUGAUCAGCCACACUGGGACUGAGACACGGCCCAGACUCCUACGGGAGGCAGCAGUAGGGAAUCUUCGGCAAUGGACGAAAGUCUGACCGAGCCACGCCGCGAGAGUGAAGAAGGUUAUCGGAUCGUAAAGCUCGGUUGUAAGAGAAGAACGAGUGUGAGAGUGGAAAGUUCACACUGUGACGGUAUCUUAGCAGAAAGGGACGGCUAACUACGUG
rnacentral:rRNA from 1 species